rnacentral:rRNA from 1 species
CCUACGGGGAGCAGCAGUGAGGAAUAUUGGUCAAUGGCCGGAAGGCUGAACCAGCCAUGCCGCGUGAAGGUCAGUGCCCUAUGGGCGUUAAACUUCUUUUGUGCGGGAGCAAUAAUGGUCACGUGUGGCCAGACGAGAGUACCGUACGAAUAAGCAUCGGCUAACUCCGUUCCAGCAGCCGCGGUGAUACGGGGGAUGCAAGCGUUAUCCGGAUUUAUUGGGUUUAAAGGGUGCGUAGGCUGGGAGGUAAGUCAGCGGUGAAAUGCCCCCGCUCAACGGGGUGAAGUGCCAUUGAUACUGCCUGGCUGGAAUGCGGAUGCCGUAGGAGGAAUGUGUGGUGUAGCGGUGAAAUGCAUAGAUAUCACACAGAACACCGAUUGCGAAGGCAUCUCACGAAUCCGCGAUUGACGCUGAUGCACGAAAGCGUGGGUAUCAAACAGGAUUAGAUACCCUUGUAGUC